rnacentral:rRNA from 1 species
CUCUGUGGCCAUACCACCCUGGUUGUACCUGAUCGUGUCUGUUCUUAUUGAAGCUAAGCAGGAUUGAGCCUGGUUAGUACUUGGAUGGGAGACUGCCUGGUAAUUUCAGGUGCUGUAUGCC